rnacentral:tRNA from 126 species
GGCGGACGUAGCCAAGUGGAUCAAGGCAAU